GUCAUAUGUGGCAAGCGUUGUUCGGAAUCACUGGGCAUAAAGAGCACGUAGGCGGUGAAGUAAGUUAACUGUGAAAUCCCCCGGCUUAACUGGGGAAUUGCAGUUAAUACUGCUUUACUAGAGUACAAGAGGGGAGAGUGGAAUUCUAGGUGUAGCGGUGGAAUGCGAAGAUAUCUAGGAGAAGGCCGGUGGCGAAAGCGACUCUCUAGCUUGUAACUGACGCUGAGGUGCGAAAGCGUAGGUAGCGAACGGGAUUAGAUACCCCAGUA
rnacentral:rRNA from 1 species